CAGCCUUUGGAUGAAGAUGUAGAACUCUCAGCUCUGCCUGUGCCAUGCCUGCCUGGAUGCUGCUGUGCUCUCACCUUGAUGACAAUGGACUGAACCUCUGACUGAACCUGUCUUUAACUGACUGCGUGAGACCCACCCACAUUGGGAGGUAAUCUGCUGUACUCAUACUGUCUAUUCAAGUGUUAAGCACAUUCAGAAACAGUUUCAUGGGCACACCAAGGAUAAUGUUUAACCAAAUAUCUGGAUACCCGCCACUCCAUGGAGAUGAGACAUAACAUGGCUUACCACAGUGGGUGAUGGUUCCUCUCUUGAGGUUUGAGUGCUGUUUCCCCCAUGAUCCAACUCAAAGUCUUCACUGCAUUCUGCAAGGAGUGCAGUUCAUAAACAGUGUUGUGCGUCUCUCAAGUUGCACACCAGCAGGUCAAUUUGAAGAUUGACAUCUUCAUCAUAUUGAUCUUCUGGUCCAUGAAGACUGGCCUAUGUGUGACUUUGCCUACGGUUUCUUGACUCUGGCUGGCUGGCAUUUUAUACUCUCCAGUCUGUAGCUGCUGAAGUACCUGUAUUAAAUGUAAUCUUAGGUGUUGGCUUGAGACUACGAUUAACCCAUUAUUUAUAAAAUAUGGAGAUCUCUUGGGUGUGUGCACCGAUCAUGCCCCCUAUAAAUACUGACUGCUCCAUUUCAUGCUUCUCAGUCCGUUCAGCCUUUAUUCCUGUUGAAUAGUUUGGUGCAUUGAUCCUAUCGGACGGCCAGUCCAUCUUUGGCUGCACAGGUAAGAGGAGCCUCAUUACCUUAUGUUAGAUUUCAAGAGCAUUGUGCUGCAGGGUUCCUGUCAGUACUCUACUAGACUAUGAACUUGUUCUCUUCCCAGGUCCCUAAGAGUUUUUACUGUAUGGAUGCUAAAUUUCCUGAAGUGCUUUUUUUCUGCCUCUGUUAAGAUUCUGUGAUUUUCCCCCCUUUGUUCUGUUAGCGUGCUAAAUCACAUCUAUUGAUUUUCAAAUGUUAAAUCAACUUUGAAUCUUGGGAAAAGCCCAGUUUGUGCCUGCUUGAUGCAUUCUCUUUCUUACAUUCAAUUUGCUAAUAUUCUUCUUUCAGGUGUUUGUAUGUUUGUCUGUGGGAGUGCGGUCUGCAUUGUAAUGUGUGUUCUAGAAUUUAGUUUCAUUUCUGUUGGUCAAACAAACCAAAAACAACAGUAUCAUAAAAC
rnacentral:lncRNA from 1 species